rnacentral:rRNA from 1 species
CACGGGGGGAGCAAGCGUUGUUCGGAAUCACUGGGCGUAAAGGGCGUGUAGGCGGUCAGGUAAGUGGGAUGUGAAAUGCCCCGGCUCACCCGGGGACCGGCAUCCCAUACUGCUUGGCUUGAGUACGGGAGAGGAUGUGGGAAUUCCCGGUGUAGUGGUGAAAUGCGUAGAUAUAGGGAGGAACACCAGUGGCGAAGGCGACUACCUGGCCUGUUCUUGACGCUGAGGCGCGAAAGCUAGGGGAGCAAACGGG